UACAACUAUAUCUUGUACUUGUGCUUGCUUACACCAAUUUAUUACAAUUCAUACAGUAAUACACCAAAAAUAAUUCUAUAAAACUGAGAGUUACUGACAAUUUUCCGUACAAAACUAUAUUUUUUAUCUAUGAAAGUAUAAUCCAAAUUCAAAUAAAACAUAUUUAAUAAUUAAGGUGGUAUUGUUAUAAAGCUUGAAAAAAAAAUUGGUCUAUUUAAAAGUAAAACAAUAUUUUAAAAUAAUUUUUGUUUUCAAUGCAAAAAUCAAUAUAAAUCUUGUGACGCGCGGUGUUCAACUUUAGUCAGCGCCAAGCGCUUAUCGAGGGAGGACGUAUCGCUCGCUGUUGCGCCGCGCAAACUCGCCGGAGCUCGAAAAAUAUAGCGCAACCUGCGCAACGAACUCGUUUUGAUACUAGAUAAUGAAAGCAUAUUUAAUUCAGAUUAUCAGACUCAAUCGGAUACCAGUACAAAUAAUAUGGAAAAUGAAGAUACAAUACAUGGAAGACGAAUUAUAGAUUUUAGUUUUUUUUUUAUAAAUCAAUUACUUAUACCUAAUUGAUAAACAUGGUGAAAAGUUUGGUUGUCGAUUAAAUAAUUUAAAAAUUCUAAACGAUUAUUUGUUUAUUGUAACUCAAUCGAGCUAUUCUAGGUUAUAAAAUUCAUCGGUACAAAUAAUAUUUCAUAAACUAUAAAACCAAUAAACUAUUUCGAAAAUAAAAGUGGCAAAGUCUCAAGUUUGUUUGUGCCGCGUGGCGGUCCGCAGGUGUGCGUUGCGUAUUUCACUAGACGCACACGCGCGCAAGUGCUGCCGGCUAUCGUCUAAUUUACCUAAACCUGAGCGAUUCGAUUUUGUAAUAGCGCUCUUAA